GUGAGGAAUAUUGGUCAAUGGGCGAGAGCCUGAACCAGCCAAGUCGCGUGAAGGAAGAAGGAUCUAUGGUUCGUAAACUUCUUUUGCAGGGGAAUAAAGUGCGGGACGUGUCCUGUUUUGUAUGUACCCUGAGAAUAAGGAUCGGCUAACUCCGUGCCAGCAGCCGCGGUAAUACGGAGGAUCCGAGCGUUAUCCGGAUUUAUUGGGUUUAAAGGGUGCGUAGGUGGUUUGAUAAGUCAGCGGUGAAAGUUUGCAGCUUAACUGUAAAAAUGCCGUUGAAACUGUCUGACUUGAGUGUAAAUGAGGUAGGCGGAAUGCGUGGUGUAGCGGUGAAAUGCAUAGAUAUCACGCAGAACUCCGAUUGCGAAGGCAGCUUACUAAGCUACAACUGACACUGAAGCACGAAAGCGUGGGGAUCAAACAGGAUUAGAAACCCGAGUAGUCC
rnacentral:rRNA from 1 species